UGCCCAGGGCGACACACGUGCUACAAUGGCAUAUACAAUGAGACGCAAUACCGCGAGGUGGAGCAAAUCUAUAAAAUAUGUCCUAGUUCGGAUUGUUCUCUGCAACUCGAGAGCAUGAAGCCGGAAUCGCUAGUAAUCGUAGAUCAGCCAUGCUACGGUGAAUACGUUCCCGGGUCUUGUACUCACCGCCCGUCACACCAUGGGAGUUGAUUUCACUCGAAGCCGGAAUACUAAACUAGUUACCGUCCACAGUGGAAUCAGCGACUGGGGUGAAGUCGUAACAAGGUAACCGUAGGAGAACCUGCGGUUGGAUCACCUCCUUUCUAG
rnacentral:rRNA from 1 species